AAGGACAAGACCUGUUCCACCUUUCUUUGCCGAGUGCGUCCACAUGAAAAACCACUGGACAUAUUAAGGAAAAAACCUGUGCUAAUAAAAAUUGAAGUGGAAUCAUUCUCGCUGCGUUCAUUCCCAUGCGUCAACUCACCUUUUGAUUGUGAAUGAGCUUCAGCUCUCAACAUUUAGGUUACACCUAAAACAGUGACCCUGAUACAUGAGAGAGCCUAUAAAUGAACUGGCCAUUCUUCUGAUGCCAUUCUCUUGCGUAUGGAUUUUUAGAAAUAACAUGAUAACUAUGAUAUCUUAAAAAUAAAUUAAUAAGCUAUUUUUUGCAGUUUGGGGGGUCUGAGACAAUGCAUGCAGUGUCAACAGUUGAUUAGGUAAAGGAUUGCAGUUUGACUUUCUCCAUAGAUUCCAGUCCCCCUUGUUUAGUUCUCAUGUGAGUGUUAUGUAACUCUUAAACUUUAAACGUGAGUCAUAGGCUUAUCAUGUAACCAAAACAUGCAUUUAGAUCAGAGACUGUCUCAUAGUUAAGGUUCAAGACCUUUCAGUUACUAUUAAAAAUGUUAUGAUUUAUUACUAAAACUGAACAAGGUAAACCCCCGUCUAUUAAUGCAUGGAAGUUAACAGUGGAAGAUACUAAAGAAAUGGAAAGAAUUGCGUACAGUCUAAGAAACAAAGAUGAAUUCACGUGUUACUGGAGUAAAUGGAUAAAGGAAACAGAGUGGAAUAACAACACGUGUGUAAAUAAAAUUAAGAGAGUAGUGAAGGAACACCUCCCCCGUUCUAUUUACAGUUUUAUUUGAAUUUUAUUAUUUUUCUUAUUUUUCUUUCUAAAUCCUAUGUUUAUUAUCUUUUUCUCUUCGUACCUUUUCUUUGGAUUUUUACUUAUUUCUAUAUAUAUUCCGUAUUCUCUAUGUUAAAAAAAAUUAUAUAUAAAAAUGUACCAGGAUGAACAAAAUGUAUGAUGAAAUAUGGCAAAUUGUAAUGUAGUAAAACUGCAAAAAAGUUUUAAAAAAAGUUAACAAGGUUUGACUUCUUCCCACUCCUUCGUCGGACAUGUUACUUAAAUAGCUUAGUGUCCAACAUGUCUUCCUGCAUUGCCUACCUUCCACUGUAAUUAUUUACUUUGUGACCUUUGCCUUUUGUUAGGAUGGUCGGAAUAAAAACAA